rnacentral:rRNA from 1 species
GGCGCAAGCGUUAUCCGGAAUUAUUGGGCGUAAAGAGCUCGUAGGCGGUUUGUCGCGUCUGCCGUGAAAGUCCGGGGCUUAACCCCGGAUCUGCGGUGGGUACGGGCAGACUAGAGUGCAGUAGGGGAGACUGGAAUUCCUGGUGUAGCGGUGAAAUGCGCAGAUAUCAGGAGGAACACCGAUGGCGAAGGCAGGUCUCUGGGCUGUAACUGACGCUGAGGAGCGAAAGCAUGGGGAGCGAACAGGAUUAGAUACCCUGGUAGUCAAGGGCG